AGCCACAGAAAUCCUCCUCAUCAAAAACAUGACUUUGAUCUCCGUCCUCAUCUGGACUCUCCUCUGCUGCUGCUUCAUAGAGUCCAGAGGUCAGAUCACAGUGACUCAGCCUGCAGCAGUGAGAUCUGCUCUGGGAGGAUCUGUCACUAUCAACUGUAAAGUCAGUCAUGAUGUUUUUGUUGGGAGUUACCAUGACCAAUACUGGUACCAACAGAGAGAUGGAGAGACUCCUAAACUGUUUAUAUAUGGUUCUAAAUAUCGAGCAUCAGGGAUUCCAGGUCGUUUUACAGGCAGUGGAUCAAACUCUGACUUCACUCUGACCAUCAGUGGAGUUCAGACUGAAGAUACAGCAGUUUAUUACUGUAACAGUCAGCAUUAUAUCAACAGUCAGCAUAUGUUCACACAGUGA